GCUUAUACAGGGACCUGGACGGCUGGACCUAGAGACCGAAGGCAGACUGUCUUGCAGUGACUGAAUCCCAUUUCGACUGCUUCGUGUUCUUUGUGUGUUGUGCGCUGGGAGAGAUAUAGAGAGAACUCAGAGAAGAGAUGGAGUGGUGGGUGUCGCAGCCAAAGAUCGAGCUUCAUGCCCACCUGAAUGGAUCCAUCAGAGAUUCUACAUUGCUUGAACUUGCUAGAGUUCUGGGUGAAAAGGGCGUCAUAGAUUUUGCCGGUGUGGAACAUGUCAUCAAGAAAAAUGGUCGCUCUCUGCCAGAAUGUUUCAAGUUGUUUGAUUUAAUCCAUGUACUCACUACUGACCACGCCACUGUCACCAGAAUCACUAAAGAAGUUGUUGAAGAUUUUGCUGCUGAGAACGUUGUGUAUUUGGAGCUGAGAACAACACCUAAGAAGAAUGAAUCUAUAGGGAUGAGCAAGCGCACUUACAUGGAUGCAGUAAUAAAGGGCUUAAAGGCUGUCGAUACAGUAGAUGUUGCUUUCACCCCUUCUCAAACAAGCCCAGAAAAUUCAGUAACACUUAUUAGCGAUGCAUGCAAAACAACCAAGAAAAAGAUAUAUGUUCGACUUCUUCUCAGCAUUGACCGGCGCGAAACCACUUCAGCUGCAAUGGAGACUGUUCAACUGGCACUGGAAAUGAGGGAUCUUGGGGUGGUCGGUAUUGACCUUUCUGGCAAUCCUGUUGUGGGUGAAUGGGAGACAUACUUGCCUGCACUUAAAUUCACAAAAGAACAAGGUCUUCAUAUUACUCUUCACUGUGGAGAGGUUCCCAAUCGAAAGGAAAUUCAAGCAAUGCUGGAUUUUCUUCCUCAGAGGAUUGGCCACGCUUGUUGCCUUGAAGAUGAGGAGUGGGAAAAAUUAAAGUCAUCUAAGAUUCCGGUCGAAGUUUGUUUGACAUCCAAUAUCAUGACUCAAACCAUCGCUUCUUUAGAUGUUCACCAUUUUGUUGAUCUCUACAGUGUCAAGCAUCCAUUAGUCUUGUGUACUGAUGAUGCAGGGGUGUUCUCCACCAGUCUGUCCCAUGAAUACAGUGUAGCAGCAUCUUCAUUUGGUCUUGGCAAGUUGGAAAUGUUUCAGCUGGCAAGGGGUGCUAUUGAUUUUGUAUUUGCAGAUGACAGUGUGAAAAAGGAUCUAAGAGAAAUCUUUGAUUCAGCCAAGAGGAAACUUGGGCUAUGACUUUAUAUGCAUUUUGAAGCAAUAAGAAGUAUAACAAUUGGUACUUGGUAGAUUAGCUUCGUCGAAGGACUUGAACAGUUUAGUUUUGUCAGAAUGUUGGCAGAUUUCAUUCAUUCAUGAUUGGGUACCAUAUACCCAUACUGGACAGAAAUUACGCAUUUGGUAGAAACAGUUUCACAGGUUGUGAGUUGAGUCAAUCAUUGAUGACCUGUUGAAGAGAAAAGUUUUUGCAUAUAUCUGCUAUCUGGGUUGAAGCCCAGGUCCAUGUGAAGCCAUAUUGCAUGGGCAAUAUGGAAAUGCUUGAGGAUUUGCUUUUGGGUUCAUCGUCAUACUCACAAAAAAACACAUUGAGCCUCUGGUAUGAGUCGCCUCCUUUUGAGAGCCUGACCAACAGGUAGAGCAUUCCAUAAUAUCUUCCAUAAGAAAAGCUGGUAUUUUGGAGGAAUUAAGUAACAGAUGAGCUUCCAUACUGGGGAGACAGUUGAUGUCGAGGCUUGCUGCUUUAUAGCAGCCUUAUAUGCAGAUUUAACAGAAUGUUGUCGAAGACCCCAGAUAACUGGGACCAACAUUGAAUAAUGGGGCCCUUUUGUUUAAAUUCCAUGCAUUUAAGUUAUAGUGUUCUAAUAGUUAAAAAUUAAU